rnacentral:rRNA from 1 species
CACGUAGGGGGGGAGCGUUAUCCGGAAUCAUUGGGCGUAAAGGGUGCGUAGGCGGCCUUUUAAGCGCGGGGUCUAAGGCGGUGGCCCAACCACCGUUCGCCCCGCGAACUGGAGGGCUAGAGUGUCGGAGAGGGAAGCGGAAUUCCUAGUGUAGCGGUGAAAUGCGUAGAUAUUAGGAGGAACAUCAGUGGCGAAGGCGGCUUCCUGGACGAAGACUGACGCUGAGGCACGAAAGCGUGGGGAGCGAACAGG